CUGAAGUCUGGCCGUCCUAGGAGCAGACGGGGAGCAAAACAAUGCAACACCAGCCCCCAGGGCAGGCCCACCAAGUGCCAGUAAUUACUCUCAUAGGAAGAAUCAGAGAAACAAAAUUGCCCUAUUAGGAGCCAAGAAGCAAGAAAUGUGUUUUAGAAAACAUUUAAAUGAAUGUGAUUUCCUACUGAGUUAUGGUUUUGCCAGUGACAGCGGCCAAUGAAGCUCGGAGAGCAGAUUUGCCAAAAAAAACAAAGAAUCAAGGUCUAAUAAGCUUCGAAAGUUGAAAGACUUGACGGCCAUUUAAUUCAAUAACCUCCCAUCUCAGCAGAGGGGAAUUUCAAGUCUGGAGAAGUGACGUGGCUUGCUGAAGAUUAGACAGCUGAUUAUGAGGAGAUCCUGGUCCGGGCACCUGUGCCUAGAAUGUGGCCGUCAGCUCUCACAAUGAGGAGAUUAAGAGCAAGGGCUCCAUAGUCACUAUCUGGGCUCAGACCUCUGACCGGCAGGGAGACCCUGGACAAGGUGCUUCGUCUCUGAGCCUCAGAUUCCUAAUCCACAAAAUGGGGAUAACCUGAGUGAAGAUUAAAUGUGAUAACCCAUUAAAUAUCCUUACAAUGUUGCCUGGCACAUAGUGAUUCCCCUGUAAGUGUAGACAGUGUUAUUUAUUUCACUCCUUCCGGGCGCGGACUAGCAAGAGGACUACAUGGUAUGGCAUGGUUCUUGUGAACCCCACCAGGGAACAGGUCCCUCAACCAGGUGGGCGGUAGGAGGCUCAUGGGACCAAUUUCUACUUGACAAAGGCUAAGACUGCAGUCGCAAUAACCAGAGCAGAAUUGUAAGGUGAGGUGCGUGGUUUUUUUUUUAAGUUUAUUUAUUUAUUCAGGGGAGGAAGGGU